CCUACGGGGUGCAGCAGUAGGGAAUCUUUCACAAUGGGCGAAAGCCUGAUGGAGCAACGCCGCGUGCAGGAUGAAGGCCUUCGGGUUGUAAACUGCUUUUAUAAGCGAGAAAUAUGAUGGUAACUUAUGAAUAAGGAUCGGCUAACUACGUGCCAGCAGCCGCGGUCAUACGUAGGAUCCGAGCAUUAUCCGGAGUGACUGGGUGUAAAGAGUUGCGUAGGUGGCAUAAUAAGUAGCUAGUGAAAUCUGGUGGCUCAACCAUUCAGACUAUUAGCUAAACUGUUAAGCUCGAGACCGUUAGGGGUAACUGGAAGUUCUAGUGUAGGAGUGAAAUCCGUAGAUAUUAGAAGGAACACCAAUAGCGUAGGCAGGUUGCUGGGACGGUUCUGACACUAAGGCACGAAAGCGUAGGGAGCAAACAGGAUUAGAUACCCUGGUAGUC
rnacentral:rRNA from 1 species